rnacentral:rRNA from 1 species
CUGUGAGCUCGAUGAGUAGGGCGGGACACGUGGUAUCCUGUCUGAAUAUGGGGGGACCAUCCUCCAAGGCUAAAUACUCCUGACUGACCGAUAGUGAACCAGUACCGUGAGGGAAAGGCGAAAAGAACCCCGGCGAGGGGAGUGAAAAAGAACCUGAAACCGUGUACGUACAAGCAGUGGGAGCACGCUUAGGCGUGUGACUGCGUACCUUUUGUAUAAUGGGUCAGCGACUUAUAUUCUGUAGCAAGGUUAACCGAAUAGGGGAGCCGAAGGGAAACCGAGUCUUAACUGGGCGUUAAGUUGCAGGGUAUAGACCCGAAACCCGGUGAUCUAGCCAUGGGCAGGUUGAAGGUUGGGUAACACUAACUGGAGGACCGAACCGACUAAUGUUGAAAAAUUAGCGGAUGACUUGUGGCUGGGGGUGAAAGGCCAAUCAAACCGGGAGAUAGCUGGUUCUCCCCGAAAGCUAUUUAGGUAGCGCCUCGUGAAUUCAUCUCCGGGGGUAGAGCACUGUUUCGGCAAGGGGGUCAUCCCGACUUACCAACCCGAUGCAAACUGCGAAUACCGGAGAAUGUUAUCACGGGAGACACACGGCGGGUGCUAACGUCCGUCGUGAAGAGGGAAACAACCCAGACCGCCAGCUAAGGUCCCAAAGUCAUGGUUAAGUGGGAAACGAUGUGGGAAGGCCCAGACAGCCAGGAUGUUGGCUUAGAAGCAGCCAUCAUUUAAAGAAAGCGUAAUAGCUCACUGGUCGAGUCGGCCUGCGCGGAAGAUGUAACGGGGCUAAACCAUGCACCGAAGCUGCGGCAGCGACGCUGAUGCGUUGUUGGGUAGGGGAGCGUUCUGUAAGCCUGCGAAGGUGUGCUGUGAGGCAUGCUGGAGGUAUCAGAAGUGCGAAUGCUGACAUAAGUAACGAUAAAGCGGGUGAAAAGCCCGCUCGCCGGAAGACCAAGGGUUCCUGUCCAACGUUAAUCGGGGCAGGGUGAGUCGACCCCUAAGGCGAGGCCGAAAGGCGUAGUCGAUGGGAAACAGGUUAAUAUUCCUGUACUUGGUGUUACUGCGAAGGGGGGACGGAGAAGGCUAUGUUGGCCGGGCGACGGUUGUCCCGGUUUAAGCGUGUAGGCUGGUUUUCCAGGCAAAUCCGGAAAAUCAAGGCUGAGGCGUGAUGACGAGGCACU